GAGAUGCACGCUCUAGUUACUAUUUACAAUACCUUGUGACUCGAGAAAUGCGCAGCUCUAGUGUGCAAACUGUGAGUGACAAAGUAGCUGCUAUCACUCUGGGUGUAUCCAUAUGCUAUACAGACUGUUGGUUGGUGUUGUCAACACUGACGGUGAGAAGAGGAAGCUUCAGUUGUCACAGUAGCUGCUAUGAAUGUGGGGUGUGUCCAUAUGCUAUACGGACUGUUGGUUGGUGUUGUCAACACUGACGGUGAGGAGAGGAAACUUCAGUUGACACAGUUGUCUUCCGUCUCGUGUUCCUUGUAGGCUGCACAGAUAGCAUAGACGGACCACGCUGAUUGUAUGAUGGUCAUGUAUCGGAUUUCACGACUGAUGCUACUGACAUUCGUUGGCUUCACAGAACACGUAGGUUCUUUAGUCCUGACAAGUUCCCCCAUGACAGUGACAGAUGGAGAACUGUUCACCCUGAUCUGCAGCAGAAACACAACUGUGGGAC